GCCGCCGUUCGCCACUCUAGUUGCCGCCGUUCGCCGCUCCAUCAACCGCAGUUCGCCGCUCCAGCCGCCGCCGUUCGCCGCUCCAGCUCCGUCGCUGUCGGCCGCUCGCAUUCAACAACCACCGCCGUCGCCACCAGGUUUAGGGCUGCUCAAUUUUGGCUGUGUGGGGCUGUCCAACCGAGAAGACAAAUGAGGGGAAAAUAUAAUGCUCAAGGCACUCCUAGAUCUCAUUAUCAUUUUUAGCUAGAGUAAAUUCUAGAUUAUCUGCUUAGAUUUUCCAAGCUGUAACAUAUCUCUUUUAUAUAUCAUGAACAAAAGUUUGCAUGUAUAUGUAUAUGCGGGGAUAUACUAAUAUGCUAAUUAAUUUUAAGUGCUAA